GGGCCCGCACAAGCGGUGGAUUAUGUGGUUUAAUUCGAAGCAACGCGCAGAACCUUACCUAGGCUUGAAAUCCUGCGAAUUCGACGUAAUGGUUGAAGUGCCCUUCGGGGAGCGCAGAGACAGGUGCUGCAUGGCUGUCGUCAGCUCGUGUUGUGAAAUGUUGGGUUAAGUCUCGCAACGAGCGCAACCCCUAUCUUUAGUUGCCAGCAUUAAGUUGGGCACUCUAGAGAGACUGCCUGGGUUAACCAGGAGGAAGGUGGGGAUGACGUCAAGUCCUCAUGGCCCUUAUGUCUAGGGCUACACACGUAAUACAAUGGUACGAACAAAGGGAAGCGAACUCGCGAGGGGGAGCAAAUCUCAAAAAACGUAUCUCAGUCCGGAUUGAAGUCUGCAACUCGACUUCAUGAAGUUGGAAUCGCUAGUAAUCGCGGAUCAGAACGCCGCGGUGAAUACGUUCCCGGGCCUU
rnacentral:rRNA from 1 species